rnacentral:rRNA from 1 species
GGGGUGGGUAGUCCGUACGAGCGCACCCUUUGUCCUUAGUUGCCAGCACAUAAUGGUGGGAACUCUAGGGAGACUGCCGGUGACAAACCGGAGGAAGGUGGGGACGACGUCAAGUCAUCAUGGCCCUUACGGCCUGGGCUACACACGUGCUACAAUGGAACGCACAGAGGGCUGCAACCUCGCGAGAGUGAGCGAAUCCCACAAAACGUUUCGUAGUCCGGAUUGGAGUCUGCAACUCGACUCCAUGAAGUCGGAAUCGCUAGUAAUCGUGAAUCAGAAUGUCACGGUGAAUACGUUCCCGGGCCUUGUACACACCGCCCGUCACACCAUGGGAGUGGGUUGCUCCAGAAGUGGUUAGCCUAACCUUCGGGAGGGCGAUCACCACGGAGUGAUUCAUGACUGGGGUGAAGUCGUAACAAGGUAGCCCUAGGGGAACCUGGGGCUGGAUCACCUCCUU